UAUUAAAGAAGUGACUGCCG
rnacentral:piRNA from 1 species